CCUACAUGAAAGUGUGAUACUCUAGUAUAUCAAAACUACCGUGUGCUAGUUUUUUAUGUUAAAUGCUUUAGAGACAACUUAUGUAAUUUUCUAGAGAAAUUAGGUAUUUUUUGUUUUAUUUUUGGCCAAGAGAUCCGAUAAACCCGUUUAUCGGUGACCUCUGGUAUUUUUUUUUUGCUACCGUAAAGUGAGCUGUUAUAAUGUCUGCAUUUCAUACAUCAAUGAGAUUAUCACAAAAUGAAAAUUAGUUUGAGAGUUUUUUUUUGGAAAAAACACCGUUUCUCCCCCUCCCUUUGUUAUAAUAUUCUUUAACAAAUAAGUGGCCUACUGUCUUUCCAAACAAAAAAGCUACACACGAAGACGAUGCGAGAAGGGUCACAAUUAACAAAGGUGCUUGAGAUGGAUGGUGUGAGUGUAAGCAAUGAACGAAUGGACAAGGCAUGGACAUUUGUUGGGAUAAUAAUAAAUGGAGAACUUGGAGACUUCGUUAUCCAUCGGCAUGGGCAUGGGCUUCACUAGCAAGGCGAUCCUCUCUCGCCCAUAUCAUUUAUUUUGGUGCCAAGCUACCCUGGAGGAUUUCCUAUAGCCAUUAGUAGUAUAACAAGCUCGGCAUCGUAUCUCCUUCUAUGCUAAUUGUUUGGUGGUGUUCAUGCGGCCAAACGUUAAUGGUCUCUCUCCCCCUACUUGCUUGGAAAGUUGGGAUCUUUUGGCCGGGUUAGUGCAGUGGUAACAUAAUAGUGCAAAGAGCUCAGUUACACUUAUCCUUGUAACUGACCUAAUAUGCAGAGGAGGACAAGAGUUGGUGCCUAGCUUCUUUGCAUGUGAGAUCAAGGACUUCCUUGUACUUGUUUUGAUCUACAACAUUAAAGAUCAUGAUUGAAUUGGCCCCUAACUUUUUUCUAAGCUGUUCCUAAGUGGGUCAUCAAGCGGCAUAUAAAGGGCUGGACCCGACUAGUUUGGAUCUUUGACAUAAAAAAGGUGCAAGGUCUGGUUCCUACAAUACCAUUUUCCUUGGUCCCAUCCUGUUUGCUCUCCAUGGAAGCGAAUUUGAAGAUCAUGGCCUCUUCUUAGUGUAAGUUAUUUAUUUGGCUACAGUAAAUUAAAAACAAUCAUUAUGCCCUAUUCACUUGGCUGAAAAGCCAUAGCUAAAAGUCUUAUUCGCUGAUUUAUUGUGAGAGAAAAAUAUUGUUAAAUAGCUAGCAAAUUUGACAGAUAAGUUGUUGCGUUGUUGGCUGCCUGACCAGCUUGCUAAGAGAAGACUGAGCAACCAGGACAUCCCCC
rnacentral:lncRNA from 1 species